CGCACGUUCGCAGAGCGGAUCUAAAAAUGUCUGUUACUUUGCACACAAAUCUCGGCGACAUCAAGUGCGAGAUCUUUUGCGAUGAAGUCCCGAAAUCUGCCGAGAACUUUUUGGCACUAUGUGCUAGUGGCUACUAUGAUGGAACCAUAUUCCACCGAAACAUCAAAGGUUUUAUGAUACAAGGUGGAGAUCCAACAGGCACGGGAAAAGGAGGAACCAGCAUAUGGGGCAAAAAGUUCAAUGACGAGAUAAGAGAGUCGCUCAAGCACAAUGCAAGAGGGAUAUUAUCAAUGGCUAAUAGUGGAGCAAAUACGAACGGAAGCCAAUUUUUUAUAACUUACGCAAAGCAGCCACAUCUGAAUGGAUUAUACACUGUGUUCGGCAGAGUGAUUCAUGGGUUUGAAGUACUUGAUAUCAUGGAAAAGACUCAAACUGGAUCGGGAGAUCGUCCUCUCGCCGAGAUCAGGCUCAAUCGGGUGACGAUACAUGCUAAUCCUCUUGCGGGUUAACCUUUGAACAUUGGAUGAAAGUCUCAUUAUUCAAGAAGUGGCAUUUAGCGUUAGCAUGAAAAGCUCUGCUAAUCUGAGAGGGGUUCAAAAGACAGAAUUAGAAGUAAACCAUACAAAACUAACAGAGAACGGGCUUGCAGAGAAUUGGAGGGUGAGAUCCAAGAAGUGGUUCAAUCAUUGCUUCAUUGAAACUCAUAUUCGGAAGCAUAAUAAUACCCAAAGAGCAGUGGGAGGUGGCACCUCAUCCUCUUGGAUUGGCUUCCUCCUUGUCACACAGGUAUUGACUUCUCACUCAUCCCACUUCAUCUUCAACUAAUUAUGGCUUCCCAUUGUCUGGACUUUUGCUUCAAAUAAUAAUUACUCAAACGAACAUAUAUUUUUUAUUUAUCAUAUCUA